UUUUGACCUCGGAUCAGGUAGGGAUACCCGCUGAACUUAAGCAUAUCAAU
rnacentral:rRNA from 3 species